GGAGAGAUGGCCGAGCGGUUGAAGGCGCACGCUUGGAAAGCGUGUAAACGGGAAACCGUUUCGAGGGUUCGAAUCCCUCUCUCUCCGCCA
rnacentral:tRNA from 1 species